rnacentral:rRNA from 1 species
UUUUGUGGGGUGCUCGAGUGGCGAACGGGUGAGUAACACGUGAGUAACCUGCCCUUGACUUUGGGAUAACUUCAGGAAACUGGGGCUAAUACCGGAUAGGAGCUCCUGCUGCAUGGUGGGGGUUGGAAAGUUUCGGCGGUUGGGGACGGACUCGCGGCUUAUCAGCUUGUUGGUGGGGUAGUGGCUUACCAAGGCUUUGACGGGUAGCCGGCCUGAGAGGGUGACCGGCCACAUUGGGACUGAGAUACGGCCCAG